rnacentral:rRNA from 1 species
UACGAACCGUGCGAACGUUGUUCGGAAUCACUGGGCGUAAAGCGCGCGUAGGCGGGCCCAUAAGUCAGGGGUGAAAUCCCACGGCUCAACCGUGGAAGUGCCUCUGAUACUGUGGGCCUCGAGGGAGGUAGGGGCGUGCGGAACUUCCGGUGGAGCGGUGAAAUGCGUAGAUAUCGGAAGGAACACCGGUGGCGAAAGCGGCGCGCUGGACCGCUUCUGACGCUGAGGCGCGAAAGCCAGGGGAGCAAACGGG